rnacentral:rRNA from 1 species
AUGGACACCUCUACUAGGGCGGCCAAGAUCCCCUCCCUCCCCCAACAGACGGAGAUCAACUGGGACAACCUCGACAUGACCAAGCUCUAUGUGGUGGGGGCCGGCAUGUUCAGCUGCGUGACCGUGGCGCUGUACCCAGUCUCCGUGAUCAAGACCCGGAUGCAGGUUGCCUCCGGGGAGGCCAUGAGGAGGAACGCCCUGGCCACCUUCAAGAACAUCCUCAAGGUGGAUGGGGUGCCUGGGCUCUACCGGGGGUUUGGGACCGUCAUCACUGGGGCUAUCCCGGCUAGGAUUAUCUUCCUCACGGCGCUCGAGAAGACAAAGGCGACCUCGCUUAAGCUUGUCGAGCCACUUCAGCUGUCAGAGUCGAUGGAGGCUGCCCUUGCUAAUGGUCUUGGUGGUUUGACGGCGUCUCUGUGCUCGCAGGCCGUGUUUGUGCCCAUUGAUGUGGUUAGCCAGAAAUUGAUGGUUCAAGGAUAUUCUGGUCAUGUCAGAUAUAAGGGUGGAAUAGAUGUUGUUCAAAAGAUUAUGAAGUCUGAUGGGCCACGGGGAUUGUACAGAGGAUUUGGCCUGUCUGUUAUGACGUAUGCACCGUCAAGCGCUGUUUGGUGGGCAAGCUAUGGGUUCAGCCAGCGUAUGAUUUGGAGUGCUCUUGGCCAUUUGAAUGAUAAAGAAGAUACUCCUAGUCAGUUGAAAAUAGUUGGUGUUCAAGCAACAGGGGGAAUGAUUGCUGGGGCAGUGACCUCUUGUGUUUCAACUCCUCUAGAUACAAUCAAAACCAGGCUGCAGGUUAAUCAAAACAAGCCAAAAGCCAGUGAAGUAGUUAGAAGAUUGAUCGCUGAAGAUGGAUGGAAGGGUUUCUACAGAGGAUUAGGUCCAAGAUUUUUCAGCUCAUCUGCUUGGGGUACAUCAAUGAUUGUAUGCUACGAAUACUUAAAGCGCGUAUGUGCUAAAGUUGAAGAGGCCUGA